rnacentral:rRNA from 1 species
AUUGAACGCUGGCGGCAUGCCUUACACAUGCAAGUCGAACGGCAGCACGGGAGCAAUCCUGGUGGCGAGUGGCGAACGGGUGAGUAAUAUAUCGGAACGUGCCCAGUAGUGGGGGAUAACUGCUCGAAAGAGCAGCUAAUACCGCAUACGACCUGAGGGUGAAAGGGGGAGGGUCUCGAGAACGUCCUCGCGAUUAGUGGCGGCCGGACCUAAUUACACGAAGUUAAGUUACGUACGUUUAGGGUUGGGGGUUAAAGGGGGGUAAACCGGUCCCCUAAACCGGAACGGAACCCGAAACGUACUUCGUUAGGUUUAGGGUUUCGGUUCGUAGGAAGGGAA